rnacentral:rRNA from 1 species
AUUGAACGCGGCGGGAAUGCUUUACACAUGCAAGUCGAACGAUGAACCUUAGCUUGCUAAGGGGAUUAGUGGCGAACGGGUGAGUAAUAUAUCGGAACGUGCCUUGUAAUGGGGGAUAACUAGUCGAAAGAUUGGCUAAUACCGCAUACGCCCUGAGGGGGAAAGUAGGGGAUCUUCGGACCUUACGUUAUAAGAGCGGCCGAUAUCUGAUUAGCUAGUUGGUGGGGUAAUGGCCUACCAAGGCGACGAUCAGUAGCUGGUCUGAGAGGACGACCAGCCACACUGGAACUGAGACACGGUCCAGACUCCUACGGGAGGCAGCAGUGGGGAAUUUUGGACAAUGGGCGAAAGCCUGAUCCAGCCAUUCCGCGUGAGUGAAGAAGGCCUUCGGGUUGUAAAGCUCUUUCGCAAGGGAAGAAAACUUACAUUCUAAUAAAGUGUGAGGCUGACGGUACCUUGAUAAGAAGCACCGGCUAACUACGUGCCAGCAGCCGCGGUAAUACGUAGGGUGCGAGCGUUAAUCGGAAUUACUGGGCGUAAAGCGUGCGCAGGCGGUUUGGCAAGUCAGAUGUGAAAUCCCCGAGCUCAACUUGGGAACUGCGUUUGAAACUGCCAGACUAGAAUAUGUCAGAGGGGGGUAGAAUUCCACGUGUAGCAGUGAAAUGCGUAGAGAUGUGGAGGAAUACCAAUGGCGAAGGCAGCCCCCUGGGAUAAUAUUGACGCUCAUGCACGAAAGCGUGGGGAGCAAACAGG